GAAUAGGACACUGCUGUGUGUCACAUGAAGAGACUGGCAGUAAUAAUCAGCCUCGUCCUCAGCCUGGAGCCCAGUGAUGGUCAAGGAGCCUGUGUUGCCAGAUGUGGAGCCAGAAAAUCUGUCAGGGACCCCUGAGAGUC